AAUAGUGGCAAUAACAAGAAAAUCUGAUAUCUUGAUGAUCAUUUAAUAAAAUUCACUGAAACUUGGCACACUUAGUGGGUGCAACGAAGUGAACAAUUUGGCGUGUUUAUAUGGUUGUUAUGGCAACACACUCGUCCCCAGUCCCUUCUCUUCCAAUUUCUAUAUGAUCCAUUUCCAACGAAAUAAAUAGUAAUUUCUGCAAUUGUCGCUUAUUACUAUCAUACGUGUAGGUAUUGUGAUAAGUUUAAACCGUUAUAACAUGCAAACAUCCUCUGCAAGAGGUCUACAGGAGGAAAUUUGUGAAAAAGAAGAGAAGAGACUGUGGACUAGUGUGUUGCCAUGACAACCACAUGACCAUCCAAAAAUAUUCAUAUGGGUGCACCCACUAAGUGUGCCGAGUUUCAUUGAAUUUUAUUAAAUACUCUCUAAAAUAUCAGACUUUCUUGUUAUUGCCAUUAUCUC